GACAGAGGGUGCAAACGUUGUUCGGAUUUACUGGGCGUAAAGCGCGUGUAGGCGGCCAUCUAAGUCGGGCGUGAAAUCCCACGGCUCAACCGUGGAAGUGCACUCGAAACUGGAUGGCUAGAGUCCUGGAGAGGAAGGUGGAAUGCUUGGUGUAGAGGUGAAAUUCGUAGAUAUCAAGCGGAACACCGGUGGCGAAGGCGGCCUUCUGGACAGUGACUGACGCUGAGACGCGAAAGCGUGGGGAGCAAACAGGG
rnacentral:rRNA from 1 species